rnacentral:rRNA from 1 species
UGAACGCUAGCUACAGGCUUAACACAUGCAAGUCGAGGGGCAGCAUGGUCUUAGCUUGCUAAGGCCGAUGGCGACCGGCGCACGGGUGAGUAACACGUAUCCAACCUGCCGUCUACUCUUGGACAGCCUUCUGAAAGGAAGAUUAAUACAAGAUGGCAUCAUGAGUCCGCAUGUUCACAUGAUUAAAGGUAUUCCGGUAGACGAUGGGGAUGCGUUCCAUUAGAUAGUAGGCGGGGUAACGGCCCACCUAGUCUUCGAUGGAUAGGGGUUCUGAGAGGAAGGUCCCCCACAUUGGAACUGAGACACGGUCCAAACUCCUACGGGAGGCAGCAGUGAGGAAUAUUGGUCAAUGGGCGCAGGCCUGAACCAGCCAAGUAGCGUGAAGGAUGACUGCCCUAUGGGUUGUAAACUUCUUUUAUAAAGGAAUAAAGUCGGGUAUGGAUACCCGUUUGCAUGUACUUUAUGAAUAAGGAUCGGCUAACUCCGUGCCAGCAGCCGCGGUAAUACGGAGGAUCCGAGCGUUAUCCGGAUUUAUUGGGUUUAAAGGGAGCGUAGAUGGAUGUUUAAGUCAGUUGUGAAAGUUUGCGGCUCAACCGUAAAAUUGCAGUUGAUACUGGAUAUCUUGAGUGCAGUUGAGGCAGGCGGAAUUCGUGGUGUAGCGGUGAAAUGCUUAGAUAUCACGAAGAACUCCGAUUGCGAAGGCAGCCUGCUAAGCUGCAACUGACAUUGAGGCUCGAAAGUGUGGGUAUCAAACAGGAUUAGAUACCCUGGUAGUCCACACGGUAAACGAUGAAUACUCGCUGUUUGCGAUAUACUGCAAGCGGCCAAGCGAAAGCGUUAAGUAUUCCACCUGGGGAGUACGCCGGCAACGGUGAAACUCAAAGGAAUUGACGGGGGCCCGCACAGGCGGAGGAACAUGUGGUUUAAUUCGAUGAUACGCGAGGAACCUUACCCGGGCUUAAAUUGCAGAUGAAUUACGGUGAAAGCCGUAAGCCGCAAGGCAUCUGUGAAGGUGCUGCAUGGUUGUCGUCAGCUCGUGCCGUGAGGUGUCGGCUUAAGUGCCAUAACGAGCGCAACCCUUGUUGUCAGUUACUAACAGGUUCCGCUGAGGACUCUGACGAGACUGCCAUCGUAAGAUGUGAGGAAGGUGGGGAUGACGUCAAAUCAGCACGGCCCUUACGUCCGGGGCUACACACGUGUUACAAUGGGGGGUACAGAGGGCCGCUACCACGCGAGUGGAUGCCAAUCCCAAAAACCUCUCUCAGUUCGGACUGGAGUCUGCAACCCGACUCCACGAAGCUGGAUUCGCUAGUAAUCGCGCAUCAGCCACGGCGCGGUGAAUACGUUCCCGGGCCUUGUACACACCGCCCGUCAAGCCAUGGGAGCCGGGGGUACCUGAAGUGCGUAACCGCGAGGAGCGCCCUAGGGUAAAACUGGUGA